AAUUCUCAAAACCCCUUUUCUUUCAUCGGAAUCGGGAUUUUGGACUUGGAGGUUCAAUGCUCGCUUUCGCUCAAGAAAGCGAGCUCCUCUUAAACAAAUUAGUGGGGUCCGCUUUGUCGAUCCUUGACGUGAUAAGAUGUUUCUACGUUUUGGACUUGGCACUGUUUUCUCCGCUUCUAACCGUCCCAUGGACAACGAUGGUGCUCCGGUCCUCGUCAUUUACUUGGCGGGAGGCUGGACCCACGAAACAAAUC
rnacentral:misc_RNA from 1 species